GACGUAGGGCGCGAGCGUUGUCCGGAUUUAUUGGGCGUAAAGAGCUCGUAGGCGGCUUGUCGCGUCGACCGUGAAAACUUGGGGCUCAACCCCAAGCCUGCGGUCGAUACGGGCAGGCUCGAGUUCGGUAGGGGAGAACGGAAUUCCCGGUGUAGCGGUGAAAUGCGCAGAUAUCGGGAGGAACACCGGUGGCGAAGGCGGUUCUCUGGGCCUGUACUGAUGCUGAGGAGCGAAAGCGUGGGGAGCGAACAGG
rnacentral:rRNA from 1 species